UGGGGAAUUUUGGACAAUUGGGCGAAAGCCUGAUCCAGCAAUGCCGCGUGUGUGAAGAAGGCCUUCGGGUUGUAAAGCACUUUUGUCCGGAAAGAAAUCCUUGGCUCUAAUACAGUCGGGGGAUGACGGUACCGGAAGAAUAAGCACCGGCUAACUACGUGCCAGCAGCCGCGGUAAUACGUAGGGUGCAAGCGUUAAUCGGAAUUACUGGGCGUAAAGCGUGCGCAGGCGGUUUGCUAAGACCGAUGUGAAAUCCCCGGGCUCAACCUGGGAACUGCAUUGGUGACUGGCAGGCUAGAGUAUGGCAGAGGGGGGUAGAAUUCCACGUGUAGCAGUGAAAUGCGUAGAGAUGUGGAGGAAUACCGAUGGCGAAAGGCAGCCCCCUGGGCCAAUACUGACGCUCAUGCACGAAAGCGUGGGGGAGCAAAACAGGAUUAGAUACCCUGGUAGUCCACGCCCUAAACGAUGUCAACUAGUUGUUGGGGAUUCAUUUCCUUAGUAACGUAGCUAACGCGUGAAGUUGACCGCCUGGGGAGUACGGUCGCAAGAUUAAAACUCAAAGGAAUUGACGGGGUCAUAGCUGUUUCCU
rnacentral:rRNA from 1 species